rnacentral:rRNA from 1 species
GACGAACGCUGGCGGCGUGCUUAACACAUGCAAGUCGAACGGAAAGGCCCUGCUUUUGUGGGGUGCUCGAGUGGCGAACGGGUGAGUAACACGUGAGUAACCUGCCCUUGACUUUGGGAUAACUUCAGGAAACUGGGGCUAAUACCGGAUAGGAGCUCCUGCUGCAUGGUGGGGGUUGGAAAGUUUCGGCGGUUGGGGAUGGACUCGCGGCUUAUCAGCUUGUUGGUGGGGUAGUGGCUUACCAAGGCUUUGACGGGUAGCCGGCCUGAGAGGGUGACCGGCCACAUUGGGUCUGAGAUGCGGCCCAGACUCCUAAGGGAGGAAGCAGUGGGGAAUAUUGCACAAUGGGCGGAGGCCUGAUGCAGCAAGGCCGCGGGCGGGAUGACGGCCUUCGGGUUGUAAACCGCCUUCGCUCAUGACGAAGCUUUGUGUGACGGUAGUGGGUAAAGAAGCACCGGCUAACUACGUG